GACGAACGCUGGCGGCGCGCUUAACACAUGCAAGUCGAGCGAAGCGGCGGACGGGUGAGUAACACGUGAGUAACCUGCCUUAGACAAUGGGAUAGCCUCGGGAAACCGGGAUUAAUACCAAAUGGUCUAAGAUGGACUCGCGUCCCAUUAGCGAGUUGGUGGGGUAACGGCCCACCAAGGCGACGAUGGGUAGCCGGCCUUAGAGGGUGAACGGCCACGUUGGAACCGAGAUACGGCCCAGACUCUACGGGAGGCAGCAGUGGGGGAUAUUGCACAAUGGGCGAAAGCCUGAUGCAGCGACGCCGCGUGGGGGAUGAAGGCUUUCGGGUUGUAAACCUCUUUCGCGAUCGAACGGGUAGCUUGAGAAGAAGCGCCGGCUAACUACGUGCCAGCAGCCGCGGUAAUAC
rnacentral:rRNA from 1 species